rnacentral:rRNA from 1 species
CAAUAGCGUAUAUUAAAGCUGUUGCGGUUAAAAAGCUCGUAGUUGGAUUUCUGUCAAGGACAACUGGUCCGCCCUCCGGGUGAGCACAUAGUUUGGUCUUGGCAUCUUGCUGGAAACUGUUGCUGCGCUUGGUUGUGUGGUGCGGCUUUCAGCACUUUCACUUUGAGGAAAUUGGAGUGUUUCAAGCAGGCACAUGCCUUUGGACACAGUAGCAUGGAAUAAUUAGAUUGGGCUUUUGCUCCAACUUGUUGGUUCCUGGAGCUGAGGUGAGAAUCAAUGGGGAUUGUUGGGGGCAUCCGAAUUUAGCCGUCAGAGGUGAAAUUCUUGGAUCUGCUAAAGACGGACGACUGCGAANGNGUUUGCNCAGGAUGUUUNCAUUG